UACAGAGGGUGCGAGCGUUAAUCGGAAUUAUUGGGCGUAAAGGGAGCGUAGGCGGAUAGGCAAGUGAUAGGUGAAAUACCCGGGCUUAACCUGGGGAGGUCCUAUCAGACUGCCUGUCUAGAGUGUGGUAGAGGAAGGUGGAAUUCCUGGUGUAGCGGUGAAAUGCGUAGAUAUCAGGAAGAACAUCGAUGGCGAAGGCAACCUUCUGGGCCAUUACUGACGCUGAGGCUCGAAAGCGUGGGGAGCGAACAGG
rnacentral:rRNA from 1 species